UUUAUUGGAGAGUUUGAUCCUGGCUCAGGAUGAACGCUGGCGGCGUGCCUAAUACAUGCAAGUCGAGCGAACGGAUUAAGAGCUUGCUCUUAUGAAGUUAGCGGCGGAC
rnacentral:rRNA from 1 species